ACCUGCAUAGCUCAGCUGGUUAGCAUGUGGUGCUGAAAACGCCAAGGUUGCAGGUUCAAACCCCUCAUAUUCUUGUAUUGCAGGGG